rnacentral:lncRNA from 1 species
CGUGGCGUACCCGCCGAUGACGUGGAAGGUGCCACGCAGGAAGACCCCCUUGCACUCAUCUCGCUCCCUCGCCAUGUCGGGGAGGUGGACCCACGCGUCCCUCGCCACGUCGUACGCCAUCGCCGAUUUCAGCGCGUUCUUCUCCUCGUCGUGCCCGCCCGCCACGAACACCCUCCGGUCCCCGUCCGGCGACGCAGCGCAGGCGAAGAAGGACCGACGCGGGGCCGGCAUGCAGGCCCCGCGGCGCCACGAGGCGGACUCCAAGUUGUAGACGUAGACCGUAUCGGAGGCGGCCCAAGUGUCCGGGUCCCACCCGCCG